ensembl:snRNA U4 U4 spliceosomal RNA
AGCUUUGCGCAGUGACAGUAUUGUAGCCAAUGAGGUUUAGCCUAGGCAUGAUUAUUGCUAAUUGAAAACUUUUCCCAAUAUCCCGCCAUGACGACUUGAAAUACAGUCGGUGUUGGCAAUUUUUGGCAGUCUACGGAGAC